rnacentral:rRNA from 1 species
AUUGAACGCUGGCGGCAUGCCUUACACAUGCAAGUCGAACGGCAGCACGGGAGCAAUCCUGGUGGCGAGUGGCGAACGGGUGAGUAAUACAUCGGAACGUGCCCAAUCGUGGGGGAUAAACGCAGCGAAAGCUGUGCUAAUACCGCAUACGAUCUACGGAUGAAAGCAGGGGACCGCAAGGCCUUGCGCGAAUGGGAGCGGCCGAUGGCAGAGUUUAGGAGUUGGGUGACGGUAAAGGCUCACCAAGCCUUCGAUCUGUAGCUGGUCUGAGAGGACGACCAGCCACACUGGGACUGAGAC